UGAAGUCAGAGUCCAGGGUCAGUCCAUGUAUAGUCUUUAGGUAGUGGCUUAGUCCCUGGAAGCUCUGGUUGCUUGGCAUUAUUGUUCAAAAGGGGUCUCGAGCCCCUUCAAGCUCUUUCAGUUCUUUCUCUGAUUCCUUCAACAGGGGUCCUAUUCUCAGUUCAGUGGUUUGCUGCUGGCAUUCGCCUCUGUAUUUGCUGUAUUCUGGCUGUGUCUCUCAGGAGCGAUCUACAUCCGGCUCCUGUCAGUCUGCACUUCUUUGCUUCAUCCAUCUUGUCUAAUUGGUUGCCGUAUAUGUAUGGGCCACAUGUGGGGCAGGCUCUGAAUGGGUUUUCCUUCAGUCUCUGUUUUAAUCUUUGCCUCUCUAUUCCCUGCCAAGGGUAUUCUUGUUCCCCUUUUAAAGAAGGAGUGAAGCAUUCACAUUUUGAUCAUCUGUCUUGAGUUUCAUGUGUUCUAGGCACCCAGGGUAAUUCAAGCAUUUGGACUAAUAGCCACAUAUCAAUGAGUGCAUACCAUGUGUGUUUUCCUGUGAUUCGGUUACUUCAUUCAGGAUGUUAUUUUCAAGUUCCAAACAUUUGUCUAUGAAUUUCAUAAAGGCAUAGUUUUUGAUAGCUGAGUAAUAUUCCAUUGUGUAAAUGUACCACAUUUUCUGUAUCCAAUCCUCUGUUAAAGGGCAUCUGGGUUCUUUCCAGCUUCUGGCUAUUAUAAAUAAGGCUGCUAUGAACAUAGUGGAGCACGUGUCCUUUUUAUAUGUUGGGGCAUCUUUUGGGUAUAUGCCCAAGAGGGUAUAGCUGGAUCCUCAGGUAGUUCAAUGUCCAAUUUUCUGAGGAACCUCCAGACUGAUUUCCAGAAUGGUUGUACCAGUCUGCAAUCCCACCAACAAUGGAGGAGUGUUCCUCUUUCUCCACAUCCUUGCCAGCAUUUUUUGUCACCUGAGUUUUUGAUCUUAGCCAUUCUCACUGGUGUGAAAUCUCAGGGUUGUUUUGAUUUGCAUUUUCCUUAUGACUAAAGAUGUUGAACAUUUCUUUAGGUAUUUCUCACCAUUCGGCAUUCCUCAGCUGUGAAUUCUUUGUUUAGUUCUGAACCCCAUUUUUAAUAGGGUUAUUUGUCUCCCUGCGGUCUAACUUCUUGAGUUCUUUGUAUAUUUUGGAUAUAAGCCCUCUAUCUGUUGUAGGAUUGGUAAAGAUCUUUUCCCAAUCUGUUGGUUGCCGUUUUGUCCUAACUACAGUGUCCUUUGCCUUACAGAAGCUUUGCAGUUUUAUGAGAUCCCAUUUGUCGAUUCUUGACCUUAGAGCAUAAGCCAUUGGUGUUUUGUUCAGGAAAUUUUUUCUAGUGCCCAUGUGUUCGAGAUGCUGCCGUAGAUUUUCUUCUAUUAGUUUGAGUGUGGCUGGUUUGAUGUGGAGGUCCUUGAUCCACUUGGACUUAAGCUUUGUACAGGGUGAUAAGCAUGGAUCAAUCUGCGUUCUUCUACAUGUUGACCUCCAGUUGAACUAGCACCAUUUGAUGAAAAUGCUAUCUUUUUUCCAUUUGAUGGUUUCGACUCCUUUGUCAAAAAUCAAGUGCCCAUAGGUGUGUGGGUUCAUUUCUGCGUCUUCAAUUUUGUUCCAUUGGUCUAUCUGUCUGUCUCUGUACCAAUACCAUGCAGUUUUUAUCACUAUUGCUCUGUAAUUCUGCUUGAGUUCAGGGAUUGUGAUUCUCCCUGAAGUCAUUUUAUUGUUGAGGAUAGUUUUAGCUAUCCUGGGUUUUUUGUUUUACCAGAUGAAUUUGCAAAUUGUUCUGUCUAACUUUUUGAAGAACUGGAUUGGUAUUUUGAUGGGGAUUGCAUUGAAACUGUAGAUCGUUUUGGUAAACUGGCCAUUUUUACUAUAUUAAUCCUACCAAUCCAUGAGCAUGGGAGAUCUUUCCAUCUUUUGAGGUCUUCUUCAAUUUCUUUCUUCAGAGUCUUGAGGUUAUUAUUGUACAGAUAUUUUACUUGCUUGUUUAAAGUCACACCGAGGUACUUUAUAUUAUUUGGGUCUAUUAUGAUGGGUGUCAGUUCCCUAAUUUCUUUCUCGGCUUGUUUCUCUUUUGUGUAGAGGAAGGCUACUGAUUUAUUUGAGUUAAUUUUAUACCCAGCCACUUUGCUGAAGUUGUUUAUCAGCUUUAGAAGUUCUCUGGUGGAACUUUUGGGAUCACUUAAAUAUACUAUCAUAUCUUCUGCAAAUAGUGAUAUUUUGACUUCUUCUUUUCCAAUUUGUUUCCCCUUGACCUCCUUUUGUUGUGAUUGCUCUGGCUAGCACAUCAAGAACUGUAUUGAAUAAGUAGGGAGAGAGUGGGCAGUCUUGUCUAGUCCCUGAUUUUAGUGGGAUUGCUUCAAGUUUCUCUCCAUUUAGUUUCUUGUUAGCAACUGGUUUGCUGUAUAUGGCUUUUACUAUGUUUAGUUAUGGGCCUUGAAUUCCUAUUUUUUCCAGGACUUUUAUUAUGAAGGGCUGUUGAAUUUUGUCAAAUGCUUUCUCAGCAUCUAAAGAAAUGAUCAUGUGGUUUUGUUCUUUCAGUUUGUUUAUAUAAUGGAUCACGUUGAUGGUUUUCCGUAAUUAAACCAUUCCUGCUUGCCUGGGAUGAAGCCUACUUGAUCAUGGUGGAUGAUUGUUUUGAUGUGCUCUUGGAUUCCGUUUGCAAGAAUUUUAUUGAGUAUUUUUGAGUCGAUAUUCAUAAGGGAAAUUGGUCUGAAGUUCUCUUUCUUUGUUGUGUCUUUGUGUGGUUUAGGUAUAAGAGUAAUUGUGGCUUCAUAGAAGGAAUUGGGUAGUGCUCCACCUGUUUCAAUUUUGUGGAAUAGUUUGGAUAGUAUUGGUAUGAGGUCUUCUAUGAAGUUCUAAUAGAAUUCUGCACUAAACCCGUCUGGACCUGGGCUCUUUUUGGUUGGGAGACCUUUAACGACUGUUUCUAUUUCCUUAGGAGUUAUGGGGUUGUUUAACUGGUUUAUCUGUUCCCGAUUUAACUUCGGUACCUGGUAUCUGUCUAGGAAAUUGUCCAUUUCCUGCAGAUUUUCAAGUUUUGUUGAAUAUAGGCUUUUAUAGUAAGAUCUGAUGAUUUUUUGAAUUUCCUCUGAAUCUGUAGUUAUGUCUCCCUUUUCAUUUCUGAUUUUGUGAAUUUGGACACACUCUCUGUGUCCUCUCGUUAGUCUGGCUAAGGAUUUAUCUAUCUUGUUGAGUUUCUCAAAGGACCAACUUUUGGUUCUGUUGAUUCUUUCUAUGGUCCUUUUUGUUUCUACUUGGCUGAUUUCAGCUCUGAGUUUGAUUAUUUCCUGUCUUCUACUCCUCCUGGGUGUAUUUGCUUCUUUUUCUUCUAGAUCUUUUAGGUGUGCUGUCAAGCUGGUGACAUAUGCUCUCUCCUAUUUCUUUCUGCAGGCACUCAGAGUUAUGAGUUUUCCUCUUAGCACAGCUUUCAUUGUGUCCCAUAAGUUUGGGUAUGUUGUACCUUCAUUUUCAUUAAAUUGUAAGAAGUCUUUAAUUCCUUUCUUUAUUUCUUCCUUGACCAGGUUGUCAUUGUUCAACUUCCACGUAUACGUGGGCGUUCUUCCCUUAUUGUUAUGGAAGACCAGCUUCAGGCCCUGGUGGUCUGAUAGCACGCAUGGGAUUAUUUCUAUCUUUCUGUACCUGUUGAGGCCCGUUUUUUUGACCGAUUAUAUGGUCAAUUUUGGAGAAAGUACCAUGAGGAGCUGAGAAGAAGUGACACUAGGGCAUCAGGCCACCAUCUCCUGCAGGGCCAACCAGAGUACCGUAACUGCUGAAAUCAAAUGCUGCUGAAGACAGAGAAAAAUAAACAGAAGAGAGGGACUGCUGCUGCCUUUUGUGACUAAGAUAACUAUUUCUCUGAGUUGUAUUUUUUUUAAGUCUCUAUACAAGUCCUCAAAGGCCCAGUUCUUGUGAUCAUUGCCUGUGAAGAGUGCUGAGGAAACUGAAGUUCAUAAUAAGCAUUCUUGACUUCCUGAUUGAUUGACGUGUUGUUUCCCUGACUAACUGGUGUUUGCAUCGAUUUCAUGGGUAUAAGGAAUCUCUUUAAUCUGUGGAAGUGUCACAUCAACUGGGAUUGUUGGGUCGUCAGUAAUUUGUAUAUCUUGAGAUUACAUAAGCAUAGUAAAAUUUGCUUUGGCACUAAACAUUUUCAAGUUGUGACUAAAUAAUUUUAACUGACUUGUAGUAGAUAAAUAUGAGUUAGUCUUCCAGUCCUGAAACAACAC
ensembl:lncRNA